ensembl:snRNA U6 U6 spliceosomal RNA
UCACUUCAGCAGCAGAUUUACUAAAAUUGGAAUGAUACAGAGAAGAUUAGCAUGGCCCCAUGCAAGGAUGACAUGCAAAUUUGUGAAGCAUUCCAUAUUUUU